UGGAAUUGAGAUUAGUUACAGUCAAUUCUGAUAUGAAGUGACUGAUUUAAUCGAUCUCAUUCCGAUUUUUUAAGAGAGAGAAAAUUAGAAUUUUUUCAUUGGUAUUGGUAAAGUGUGUUAAAAUAUGUACCACGAUAUGGAGAGUGUUGGAUGAGUUUUCCCUUCCUGCUUUAGUUUAUUUAUUUCCCUAAUUACGAUAGAUCUCUACUUACUAAUUAGGAUAGAUUUCCUAUUUUAUCUUGCUUGUGGCACAAUGACUUAGUUUUCUAGUUUGAUUGUACUUCUUUUGGAGUUAAUAAAUAUUGAUGGUAGGGGGGAUUGAGAUAAUAUUCGGUUGCUCCCCUCUUGCGGUCUCUCUUCUCUUCUUCUCUCUUAAUCUCUUUCUCUCUUCUCUUACUCUCUUAAGUUAUUGGUUACAGAUCUUGGUUUCGUAACAUGGUAUCACAGCUGUAACCAGUAGCUGUUUUGAGAAUCGUUCCAAGGUCUCUUGCUACUGGUGAAACCCUAGUUCUUAUAAGAAGAAGAACUAGGGUUCGUUGAAUUUUGGUUGCUGCCUUUGAAUCGAAGGUUGUUGCUGCUACUAGCGACUUGUUGUUGCUUUCAUAUACUGCUAUUGCUACUGUCUGGGUUGAAAAUCUUUGUGAUUUUACUAGUGCUUGGUUCACUCCAUCGAACUAAGGUUCAAACCAAGGACGUGAUGAGAAGUUUUUGAAGAAUUAAUGUUGGUUGAAGGUUUUUGGUUUUGAAACCAUGGCUAUUGAUUCCCCUUCUUCCCUUUCUGAAUUCUUCUCUUUCCCCUUUUAAUCUUCUUCUUCCUCCCAACCCUUUCUUAUUUCCUGCUGUUGAAUUUUCUGGUACUUUAUUUUUUGGGCGACAGUUGCAGCCCUAGUUUAGAGUAUUAAUCUCUGCCUCCCUUUUGUGUGCUGUUUUAUGACAUAUACCUCUUGGAUUCAAGAGAGCACUGGGUGCUCAGCCUACUUCUAAAGUUUCAUGGCCAUCCAACCAGAUUUGAGGGAGAUUUACCCCUCGCAAGCUGCUAGAUUCUUCUGCCUUUGCUGGUUGUCCAAGGAAGGAGAAGAUAGACUCCACCCGAUGCUGCUACUUGUUUACCCCGGCACUCAAUGCUGAUACUUGUUAUCUCGGCACCCGAUGCUGCUACUUGCUUACUUCAUCACCCGAUGCUGCUACUUGCUUCCCUCAGCACCUGAUGCUGCUACUUGCUUACCUCGACACCCCGAUGCUGUUACUUGGUCCCCGACAACCUGAUGUCGAUAUAUGCUUACCCUGCAACCUAUUGUUGCUACUAGCUACCUACUGCUUGCCUUCCUUGGGAAGCACCUUUGAUGCUACUGACUUUAUGGUGUGGAUCAUUGUAGUUCUCUCUGUGCUCUCUAGCGUCUACCACUACUACUUAAGACCGGUGUUAUGUUUAAUUUUCUAUUCUUGUUGGUCCAAGCUGGAAGUUUUCUUUUGAUAUAUGUAUACUCCAACUUGAGGGAGAGUGUUAAAAUAUGUACCACGAUAUGGGGAUUGUCCCUAUCGUGGAUGAGUUUUACCUUCCUACUUUAGUUUAUUUAUUUCCUUAGUUAGGAUAGAUCUCUAUUUACUAAUUAUGAUAGAUUUCCUAUUUUAUCUUACUUGUGGCACAGGGACUUAGUUUCCUAGUUUGAUUGUACUUCUUUUCGAGUUAAUAAAUAUUGAUGGUAGGGGGGACUGAGAUAAUAAUCGGUUGCUCCCCUCUUGCAAUC